GGAGCGGGCGAGAAGAGCCUCUUCUUGGGAGCCCGAGAGGAGGGAGGCUGCUUGGCGGGAUGACGCUGCUUCAGAGUUCGGGUCGCCCGGCCUUAGGGUAAGACCGGACGAUGUCCAGGCAGAAUUCGAGGGCAUCUUCCUCAGGCCAGACAGCUUCGUCAGGCCCGGCAACUCGUCCAGUGGCACCUGGAGAAGCGCUGACCUCGUCACCUGAAGCCUUGGGAGGAGGACGGUCUGUGGAAUGGGAUCCGGUGAAGUCAUUUCCCUCAAACGCGGAGGGUUUAAAAGGCCAGAUCCCUGAACUUGAGAACCCGGAGGUGAUGUUCUUCACUGUUGCAGCCUCUGGUGGGACGGGUGAUUGUCCAGCAGGCGGAGC